GUUUUCUUAAUAUAUUAUAAGUAUGUUUGAUUUCCAAUCAAAAAGUCUAGUUUUAGAGAAAUCA
rnacentral:tRNA from 1 species